AAGUGGGAUAAGGAGACCGGCGAGAAGCGUGUAGUCAAUGAUUUCGUGAGGACGCUUAUUGAGAGUGUAAAUGAUGCUGUAAGGGCCGUGACAGGGUCUAAUAUAAAACGGCUCGGUUUUAAGAAGUAUCCAUCACCUUACGGCGG